rnacentral:tRNA from 1 species
GCUGAGGUAGUCUAGCGGGAAGGCGCAAGCCUGGAGAGCUUGUGGGGCGUCCUGCCCCUCGGGGGUUCAAUUCCCCUCCUCAGCG